CCCUAGUAACGGCGAGUGAAGCGGGAUGAGCUCAAGCUUAAAAUCUCUGUGCAGGUUCUGCAUGGCGAAUUGUAGUCUAUGGAGGCGAUGUCAGUGCGGUUGUGCGGGAUAAGUUCCUUGGAAGAGGACAGCAUCGAGGGUGAUACUCCCGUAUGUGCCUGUACAGCUGCGCGUACGACACGUUUUCUUUGAGUCGCGUUGUUUGGGAAUGCAGCGCAAAGUAGGUGGUAAAUUCCAUCUAAAGCUAAAUAUUGGUGCGAGACCGAUAGCGAACAAGUACCGUGAGGGAAAGAUGAAAAGAACUUUGAAAAGAGAGUUAAAGAGUACCUGAAACUGCUGAAAGGGAAUCGAAUCGUUUCCAGUGUCUAUAAUCCAUGACAUAUUUCAUUGGCGCGUGAAUGCGUGCAGCGUUUUGGAAGUGGGUUUCCUCUCCUGGCGUUGUUGUGCGUUUGCUUGCUGGUGCCCUGUGUUGUGGUGGGACGUCAGAGUCAGUUCGUA
rnacentral:rRNA from 1 species